rnacentral:rRNA from 1 species
AGAGUUUGAUCCUGGCUCAGAUUGAACGCUGGCGGCAUGCCUUACACAUGCAAGUCGAACGGCAGCACGGGAGCAAUCCUGGUGGCGAGUGGCGAACGGGUGAGUAAUAUAUCGGAACGUGCCCAGUCGUGGGGGAUAACGCAGCGAAAGCUGUGCUAAUACCGCAUACGAUCCAUGGAUGAAAGCGGGGGAUCGCAAGACCUCGCGCGAUUGGAGCGGCCGAUAUCAGAUUAGCUAGUUGGUGGGGUAAAAGCCCACCAAGGCGACGAUCUGUAGCUGGUCUGAGAGGACGACCAGCCACACUGGAACUGAGACACGGUCCAGACUCCUACGGGAGGCAGCAGUGGGGAAUUUUGGACAAUGGGCGCAAGCCUGAUCCAGCAAUGCCGCGUGCAGGAUGAAGGCCUUCGGGUUGUAAACUGCUUUUGUACGGAACGAAACGGUCUUUUUUAAUAAAGAGGGCUAAUGACGGUACCGUAAGAAUAGC